GAGCAGGCUCUCCCUGCGCAUGGCCUGGGUUGGAAUCCCAGCUUCCUUACUAGCUGUGAAAGGCUGCGGAAAGAGGGGGGCCAGCCAGGCCCACCGAGGCCCAGAGAUCCGGCUGACACUCUUCACAAGCAGGAGCCAGACCCCUUCUUGGCUUCCACUGUACAGCCCCCUCUUACUUGUUUCAUCUCCUUGACUUCCACCGAAAGGUUCUCUGGGUCAGCAGCCUGGGAAACUGGAUCCCAGGCCAAAUGAGAGAGAAGCCCUGCAGGUUCAACCCAAUUUCAGAGAUAGACAAACAUCUUCUCCGGCAUGUGGCACAUAGGCUGGGCUAAGUGAUCUCCAGCUUCUGGGUGGGAAGACCCAGGUCCAGAGAGGCAAUGGUGGCUGGAGAUCUGGGGUCACACAGCAGCUAUGAGCCUGAGCCCUGCUUCAAGUGCCCUUAACUCAAAA